CCCUUUGGGUGUGACUGCGUACCUUUUGUAUAAUGGGUCAGCGACUUAUAUUCUGUAGCAAGGUUAACCGAAUAGGGGAGCCGGAGGGAAACCGAGUCUUAAUUGGGCGUUAAGUUGCAGGGUAUAGACCCGAAACCCGGUGAUCUAGCCAUGGGCAGGUUGAAGGUUGGGUAACACUAACUGGAGGACCGAACCGACUAAUGUUGAAAAAUUAGCGGAUGACCUGUGGCUGGGGGUGAAAGGCCAAUCAAACCGGGAGAUAGCUGGUUCUCCCCGAAAGCUAUUUAGGUAGCGCCUCGUGAAUUCAUCUCCGGGGGUAGAGCACUGUUUCGGCUAGGGGGCCAUCCCGGCUUACCAACCCGAUGCAAACUGCGAAUACCGGAGAAUGUUAUCACGGGAGACACACGGCGGGUGCUAACGUCCGUCGUGAAGAGGGAAACAACCCAGACCGCCAGCUAAGGUCCCAAAGUCAUGGUUAAGUGGGAAACGAUGUGGGAAGGCCCAGACAGCCAGGAUGUUGGCUUAGAAGCAGCCAUCAUUUAAAGAAAGCGUAAUAGCUCACUGGUCGAGUCGGCCUGCGCGGAAGAUGUAACGGGGCUAAACCAUGCACCGAAGCUGCGGCAGCGACGCUUAUGCGUUGUUGGGUAGGGGAGCGUUCUGUAAGCCUGCGAAGGUGGCCUGUGAGGGUUGCUGGAGGUAUCAGAAGUGCGAAUGCUGACAUAAGUAACGAUAAAGCGGGUGAAAAGCCCGCUCGCCGGAAGACCAAGGGUUCCUGUCCAACGUUAAUCGGGGCAGGGUGAGUCGACCCCUAAGGCGAGGCCGAAAGGCGUAGUCGAUGGGAAACGGGUUAAUAUUCCCGUACUUGGUGUUACUGCGAAGGGGGGACGGAGAAGGCUAUGUUGGCCGGGCGACGGUUGUCCCGGUUUAAGCGUGUAGGCUGGUUUUCCAGGCAAAUCCGGAAAAUCAAGGCUGAGGCGUGAUGACGAGGCACUACGGUGCUGAAGCAACAAAUGCCCUGCUUCCAGGAAAAGCCUCUAAGCAUCAGGUAACAUCAAAUCGUACCCCAAACCGACACAGGUGGUCAGGUAGAGAAUACCAAGGCGCUUGAGAGAACUCGGGUGAAGGAACUAGGCAAAAUGGUGCCGUAACUUCGGGAGAAGGCACGCUGACACGUAGGUGAAGUGAUUUACUCACGGAGCUGAAGUCAGUCGAAGAUACCAGCUGGCUGCAACUGUUUAUUAAAAACACAGCACUGUGCAAACACGAAAGUGGACGUAUACGGUGUGACGCCUGCCCGGUGCCGGAAGGUUAAUUGAUGGGGUCAGCGCAAGCGAAGCUCCUGAUCGAAGCCCCGGUAAACGGCGGCCGUAACUAUAACGGUCCUAAGGUAGCGAAAUUCCUUGUCGGGUAAGUUCCGACCUGCACGAAUGGCGUAAUGAUGGCCAGGCUGUCUCCACCCGAGACUCAGUGAAAUUGAACUCGCUGUGAAGAUGCAGUGUACCCGCGGCAAGACGGAAAGACCCCGUGAACCUUUACUAUAGCUUGACACUGAACAUUGAGCCUUGAUGUGUAG
rnacentral:rRNA from 1 species